GUGGCAAAGGGCAUCGUGGUACUGGGGUGGCUGUAAGAGCUGGCUCCUCUGCUCUCCCACAGCUGGGCUGAGGUACCUCCACUCUGACUCAAGGCACCCUGGUGCAGUCCCUGUCCAUUUUGUCCCUCACUGCUUACAGGAAGUUCAUCAUGGCUGUUCAGGAAAAGCAUUCUCAGGGGCAGCAAAGAGCUCUAGGUUAAAAUUCAGUUGCUGGAACAGGAAGAGGUGAAAUUAAUUUCUUGUCUAUUCUCUGAUGCACUCAAGCCCAAGCUGCACUACAAACAGGUCUGUAUGUCUUCUGAACAUGCCUGCGACCACUGCCUGUGAGACAGGUCUCAGCAGCAGUGCAUUCACAAAUGUUUAUGUUUCUUUUUGUAGUUGUGCUAAAAGAACUUUGGAGAUCUUUGCUAAAGCACUGGCAGCGUAUCAGUGCCUCAAUCCAAACACGUGGCACUGCCUGCUGAGUUUGCUUGGUUUCUGCUUCACACAAAACCCUGCCAAUGGCAUCUCCACAUUGAACCAACAGCGAUCAUCCCAGUCCACUUCCAUGAACUCCUCUGUAUUAGCCAUGGUAGAGAUACCCAGCCAAGCUCUUUAUUGAUGUGCUUCUAUCUGUAACUGAGCCAGGUUUCUCUGAGUAGGUCCCUCAGCAUUUUCCUCGGAUCAAACAAUGUCCGAUGAGAUCAUGUUGGAGAUGAAGGGCUCUGACUUGGCCAUGACUUGCCAAGACCUUGUAGUAGUGUGUACAGCAUGAAGGCACAUGGAAGAAAAUUCCAUCCAGGAGGAAUGACUUCACAGGCUGUAAAAUAUUGCUUCUGCCCUGGCAACAAUUUUUAAUAAAGCUGGAUGUUUUUAGCAGCUAAAGUCAAAUUUGUCUUUAGCAUCCUCCCCAUUUUAGAAACAGGACUGAAUAAACAAUUCCUGUCACACAAGAAAACUCUCUUGCUCAUUGGAAUUGGUGGGCUCUUCGGCACCCUUCCUUGGACAGAUGGACACUGGCUGGCUGUACCUGGGACAUUUGCUCACCUCUUCCUAUGGCUGACAAUCAUCUGGACCACACCAACACCAGUGGCUCCAAUCAGUGAGACAGAUCCUCAAACACUUGUAUAUCACAGGCUGUUUUUCCAUGGUGUUAUAACACUGCAUCCAUACCGCAUAGGUAGAGUUAGAGCAUCACUGAGAGAAGCCUGGACAUGUCCUUAGUAUCCAUCAGGGCUGCAAACAUCCCCUGUACUGAUGCCCAAGAAACCAUAUGUCAGAAUAGAUAACAAAACUUAAACUGAUGCGCCCCAAACUCUUUGAAUCCUUCACACCUCCUGUGAAGGUGUGAAGAAAAGCCUUUUCUCUUGCUCAGUUGACUUUUUAUAAAAAGUUCCCUGCUGUUUAAUCUCAACUAACAGUGUUGCAGUUUAAAUCAGUCAGCAUCAAUCUGUUGUGACCCUUCAGAUCAAUUACUUCUCUUCCAGCUCAGACCAUUCUUGCGAAUUAUUACCACCUCCUAAAAAUAUGGCUGUGAGGUUGCAAAGUGUCAGUUCUCCUUAGAAAGAUGAUUUAUUAAAUAAGUGGAGAAACAAGAUUUGGACUAUUUUUAGUCUUCUUUCUAUGAUGCUAUACAAAGAUUUUCUCACCGUGUUUUCCUGUUCAGCUAUGCUGGCUCUGACUUUUCACACAGUGGAAGAGGCAUCCACAGCAGUGCUCUCAUAGGGCUCUAUGCAGCGUCUUUCAAUGUUCGGUUUUGU
ensembl:lncRNA